rnacentral:rRNA from 1 species
UACGGGGGGGGCUAGCGUUGUUCGGAAUUACUGGGCGUAAAGGGCGCGUAUGCGGUCUGCUAAGUUGGAUGUGAAAACUCUGGGCUUAACCCAGAGCCUGCAUUCAAUACUGACAGGCUAGAGUUCUGGAGGGGAUAGCGGAAUUCCUGGUGUAGCGGUGAAAUGCGUAGAUAUCAGGAGGAACACCGGUGGCGAAGGCGGCUAUCUGGACAGAGUCUGACGCUGAGGCGCGAAAGCUAGGGGAGCAAACAGG